AAAUUUUUGACCCAACAACCAGGAGAAGAAAUUUCUCCACGACCUCGCCCAUGUGAAAAAAUAUCUGCAAUGACAAAAACGCAACUCACACCUAGCGCGCGCAGUUUCCCUACCAACUUUUGUCUCUUGCUUCGAUCCUCUUGCCCUACACUCCGGGCUUAAGCAGUCCCAAUCACAGGCAACUUCCCUUUUCUUCUGGACAAAGCACUAUAUACUAGCUAUCGCCACAAUCAAAUGCCUCUUCUAUCGAUCGCAGCAGCGUGGUUACGGAGAGCGAACCGGCAAAUCGACAGCCAAAUCCCCUUAUCUUUUCCAUCGGAUGUUUGAUUCCUGCAUGGCGAAUGGGACAGGUUAUCCUUAAGUGUGCUGCAUCCAAACCAACCCUUCCGAAGAAGUUUAGUCAUGCAAUAUUGUGCUUUAUGAUUUGGAAGCUAAAAGGAAAAAAGGCCAACACCGUUCGUUGGUCAUUUAUCCGUAAAUCCUAAAGCACAACCCUCGCAUGCUAAGGCAAGAUUGGAUGACGGGUACAGCAAAGAAAGCGUAUAUCUUGCACAUAUGACAUAGUUGACAGACGUCAAAAAGCUAUUACUUGUACAUCUGUAUCUGUGGCGGCUCAAUCAAGCUUUAGAAUAGUUGAUAGAAGUAGUUGUUUGUGAAAAAAAUGAUUCCUGGAAAGUUAACAUAACGACAUAUCUGUAAGUUCAUGAACAAAGCAUCUAGGCAGGCAGGCAGGCAUAUAUGGAUGGGCCGGAGGAUCGAAAAUGAAAUUUAAAAGAAAAGUGCAGGCAAA
rnacentral:sRNA from 1 species